rnacentral:rRNA from 1 species
CGGUACCCUUGGAAUAAGCGUCGGCUAACUACGUGCCAAGCGCCGCGGUAAGACGUAGGACGCAAGGCGUUAUCCGGAUUUACUGGGCGUAAAGCGUUCUGCCAGCCGGUUCCAUAACUUGGGCGGUGAAGCUCCGGGUCUCAACCCGGAGAGGUCGUUCAAUACUGUGGAACUAGAGGGCAUCAGAGGGGCGUGGCACAUUUCCGGUGUAGCGGUACAAUGCGCAGAUAUCGGAAGGACCACCAAUUGGCGAAGGCAGCGCUCUGGGGUGUACCGGACGUUAAGAGACGAAAAGGCUAGGGGAGCGAACAGGAUUAGAGACCCUGGUAGUCCUAGCCCCUUAACUGAUGGAUGUCUUAGUUUUGGGAGCGAGAGCUUCCGUGCCGGAGUUAACGCUCUAAGCAUCCCGCAUGGGGAAUACGGCCGCAAGGCUUAUACUCAAACGAAUUGACGGGGCCCCGCACAAGCAGCGGAGCGUGUGGGUUUAAUUCGAUGCUACACGAAGAAACCUUACCUGGGUUUGACAUACUAGUGGGUAGUGGAACGAAAGUGAAGCGACCCUUCGGGGAGCUAGUACAGGUGCUGCAUGGCUGUCGUCA